GUUACUUCGGUAGCACAUAUACUAAAAUCGGAACGAUACAGAGAAGAUUAGCAUGG
rnacentral:snRNA from 1 species